GAUUCUGGCUCAGGAUGAACGCUGGCGGCGUGCCUAACACAUGCAAGUCGAACGAGCGAGAGAUGAAACCUAGUGAUUCUCGAGCGAGUGGCGGACGGGUGAGUAACGCGUGGGUAACCUGCCCUACAGAGGGGGAUAACAGUUUGAAAAGACUGCUAGUACCGCAUAAGCACACAGUACCGCAUGGUACAGGGUGAAAAAGAUUUAUCACUGUAAGAUGGACCCGCGUCUGAUUAGCCAGUUGGCAGGGUAACGGCCUACCAAAGCGACGAUCAGUAGCCGACCUGAGAGGGUGAUCGGCCACAUUGGGACUGAGACACGGCCCAAACUCCUACGGGAGGCAGCAGUGGGGGAUAUUGCACAAUGGAGGAAACUCUGAUGCAGCGAACCGCCGCGUGAGUGAAGAAGUAUUUCGGUAUGUAAAGCUCUAUCAGCAGGGAAGAUAAUGACAGUACCUGACCAAGAAGCCCCGGCUAACUACGUGCCAGCAGCCGC
rnacentral:rRNA from 1 species